rnacentral:rRNA from 1 species
GCUGUCACUUAUAGAUGAAUCGGCGCCGCAUUAGCUAGUUGGUAAGGUAACGGCUUUACCAAGGCAACGAUGCGUAGCCGACCUGAGAGGGUGAUCGGCCACACUGGAACUGAGACACGGUCCAGACUCCUACGGGAGGCAGCAGUAGGGAAUCUUCCGCAAUGGGCGAAAGCCUGACGGAGCAACGCCGCGUGAGUGAUGAAGGUCUUCGGAUCGUAAAACUCUGUUAUUAGGGAAGAACAAAUGUGUAAGUAACUAUGCACGUCUUGACGGUACCUAAUCAGAAAGCCACGGCUAACUACGUGCCAGCAGCCGCGGUAAUACGUAGGUGGCAAGCGUUAUCCGGAAUUAUUGGGCGUAAGGCGCGCGUAGGCGGUUUUUUAAGUCUGAUGUGAAAGCCCACGGCUCAACCGUGGAGGGUCAUUGGAAACUGGAAAACUUGAGUGCAGAAGAGGAAAGUGGAAUUCCAUGUGUAGCGGUGAAAUGUCGCAGAGAUAUGGAGGAACACCAGUGGCGAAGGCGACUUUCUGGUCUGUAACUGACGCUGCAUGUGCGAAAGUCGUG